rnacentral:ncRNA from 2 species
ACAGAAUAUCUUGGGACAGGUGCCCGCAAGGGCUUAAUAGGGAAGUCCGGUGAAAUACCGGCACGGUCCCGCCACUGUAACGGGGAGUAGUCUUGCAUAUUGGCCACUGGAGCGUCAAGCUCUGGGAAGGCGCGGGACAGCGAUGAACCGGAGUCAGGAGAACUGCCUGUUCGGCAAUCACCGU